AGAUUGAACGCUGGCGGCAUGCCUUACACAUGCAAGUCGAACGGCAGCACGGGAGCAAUCCUGGUGGCGAGUGGCGAACGGGUGAGUAAUAUAUCGGAACGUGCCCAGUAGUGGGGGAUAGCCCGGCGAAAGCCGGAUUAAUACCGCAUACGACCUAAGGGUGAAAGCGGGGGAUCGCAAGACCUCGCGCUAUUGGAGCGGCCGAUAUCAGAUUAGCUUGUUGGCGGGGUAAAAGCCCACCAAGGCGACGAUCUGUAGCUGGUCUGAGAGGACGACCAGCCACACUGGGACUGAGACACGGCCCAGACUCCUACGGGAGGCAGCAGUGGGGAAUUUUGGACAAUGGGCGCAAGCCUGAUCCAGCCAUGCCGCGUGUGGGAAGAAGGCCUGGUGUAACACUUUGUCUAGGAGAAAGUACUGACUAAUACGUUGGACUAAUAGAGGUACCUGAAGAAUAAAGACACCGACGUAACUAACGUA
rnacentral:rRNA from 1 species